UUCUAUUUUUAGGGGUACAAUUUUUUUUAAGGGCAAAUUCGCUAGGUCAUUUUGCAUAGUACUACUUUAUAUUAGCUUUAAAUUCCAAAUAUUGAACUAGGAAAUUGUAAAUGAGAAGAAUACUUAAUUUGGAUUUGACAGAAACCAACAUGUUUUUUGACCUAAUCUCUGAUCUGCUUGGCUUGUGUUGAAAACUAUCAAAUGUGCACGCUGACUUACUAAGGUAGCAUGAGUUUCUUCUGUCUUUGUGUUUUCUUGCAUUUUGGUGUGUUGCAUUUGGUGGUUGACUCUGUUUGCAUCUCAGUUAAACCUUAGUUCUUACGUUGUCAUGAAUUGAUAAGGGUACAGCUCCAGUAUUCUACAGAAUGUGCCGUGUCUUGACAAUGUGAAGUUUCUGUAGAAUUUGGAAGGGCAGGGUUCUUAUUAGCAAAAUAGCUCUUGUCCUCUCUGAUGAAGAAAGUUUGCAUGGAGAAUUAACUGGUUUACCUUAACGAUAGGAAUUUGUAUUAAGAAUGAAGGCUGUAUAGUAGGUUGUUGAUCUGACAUUCAGUUAGAAGGAAGAUUGAUGAAGUAGAGUGAAUCAGAGUUUAUUUUGUUGGAUGAUGUUUCCUUUUUUGGUAAAUCUUAAUCUGGAAGUCUCAAUAUUAGGGGUGGAUUGCUUUGUCAUCUUUUUUGUUUUGAAAUCUGACUAUUUCAAUUUAGGGUAAUACCCAUUUAGUGUGGUGAUGAGAAUUGGGUCUGUGUCCAUCAUGCUGGGAAUUCUAUUCCUUUAAUUCAAAUGACUGGGGUUAUUGGUUUUGCAAAGUUGGUCUCAAUCAAUUCGUGUUGCUGGUUCAACAUUUAUCAGUACUUCCAAGUUAAAUUAUAAAUAUAACACCCUGCCCUGUAUUGGGCACUCAGUUUUAUUAAGAUACAAGAAGAAAAUAGUGCUGCCUAUUUACCCUUAUUUUUAAAAAAUCGUUUUCUCAAAUUCUUGACUUACAUUGCUUUUGUUUUGAGUUAUGGGGUUAUGUGAAAGUCUCUUCACUUAUCCUAGUUUACAGAGUUAAAUACUCACUAGAAUCUCGUAGUUUUGUUACCUUGUCUCACCUGAUUUUAAACUUCUUUUAAGGUAUGCGUAUUUUGAUUAUUUGAAUAAAUUAUAUUUCCCCCCUCAGACAGAAUACUUUUGUUUUGACAAACAGCUAGUUUGGAGGCCUGUUGUUUUAAUCAGUCAUCUAUUAACUGUUUCAAACAUUUUAGACAUGAAAACAAAGUAAAGGUGCUGAAAAUUAGUCCUAAUCGUAGAUCAUUACUCUGUCAGCAAAAUAGUACAAUUUGGGAGCCAUUCAGUAAGUCAAAACUAGGUCAUGAAAUAUUAAAGAACUCAGUAAGUUUCUUAGUAAUCCCUGAAACAGGAUUUGAUACUAUGUUAUUAUACAUUAGUUCCAGUUUUUUUAUAAAUGUAACAAAACAUAAUUUUUUCAGUAUUAUCUUUUUAUGUAAUUGGCAAUUUAUUUUAAUUAUGACUUGAAAUUAUAUUUGAAACCAGCAAUUGCUUAGUGAAUUAAAGUUAGUGGUCUUAAGAGUCUUACAAAGCUGUAGGUAACAGUGUCAGAAAUUUAUUUGGUAGAUUAUUUAGAUGAGUGGUUUCAAAACUUUUUUGCAACUUUUGAGCACAACCCUUCAACUUUCACACAUUUGUUUACCUCUGAAUUAUUUACGUGUUCCACCUUACUAAUAUUUUAGAUACAUUAUGAAACACCCAAUAAGGAAUUUUUAUAGAGGACAAAAUUAAGAGGCAGAUAAGAAGUCGUUCUGCAUUUUCUUCUAGGACCCAGUACACCUAGCCCCUCGGAGACCACUGGUUUAGGUCCCAGUGUGGCUUCAGUUCAAGUCCUAAGAGGGGAGACUGCAUCCCCUUCCGACCGGUGCAGUGUGAGACUGGGGUCUGAGAAAUGUGGGGUGUUUGCGCGAGCUGUCACUGCUGCUGAAAUGUGGGUAGAAGAGCGUGUGCUCCUGUGGAAGGCGGGGGCGUGGCAGGGGGCCUCGGCUGGCAGGGGCCAAGGCACACGCCCUCUUCCCUUGCCAUGGGUUGUGCUUUUGGUGAUCUCCCUGCUGAAAACCGACAAAAACUCCUACGACAGAACUGAAUUCAAAGGCUGGCCCAUAUUUCUGUGUGGAGGACUUUGGCUUUUUUUUCUUGUUGAUUUUUUGGCUUUAGGAAAAAAACGGGAAUCUUGGAGUGACAGCAGGAGUUUUUAAUUCUGUAGGGUGUUACGUGGUGAUGGUGACAUGUCAUUUUUUUUUUUUUUUUACUGGCUCGGAUAAUAGAAACAAAACAAUUAGUACUCCUGUGAAAGUACUUGUUUCUCUGACCUGGCUGGGUUUGGCAUUUUCCCAUGUCUUUCAGCCUGCCAUCCUUAAUGUCGCCACUGAGACCUGAAGGGGCUGUGUCGCAGUGGGGCUUUGUGACCCCGGGUAAGGCGGAGUCAGUCACGUUGGGGCAGCAUUGCCCGUGGAAUCUUCAGUGGUUCAGGGAGUAGAGUGUAGCCACCCCGAUUUGCGAAGGGCCCGCCCUCCCCCUGGGGUUGGGGUAGCUUGCUGUGUUCUGGUGGAGGACCCCGUGAAGGAGUAGGCUGCUGCUUAGGAGCUGUGUUGUACAGAAACUACAUUCCUGUUGAUCCCACUUCCUGGGACCAGGCACUCGCACUGGGAGGGGCAUGUGGCACCAGCGCAGUUGCGAGCACAGCCGAUGUGGGUGUUUUCCAUCUCACUCUCUGCACAGCAUCUGUUCGCCAAGUAGACUGGCGGCCGGGGUUGCCUGUAUGAGAUGUCAACUGUCAUCUUUCUCUGUCACCCGUGUUCUCUCUCUCUCUCUCUCUCUCUCUGAUGGGUGUAUACAGUUGAGUUCCUGAGUAUAAUUUGACUCCUCUGUACUUUUGAGACAAGCCCUUUCCUCAGACCUGUGUUGUAACAUCUGCGGUUACUUGAGAAAACCCACCGUGUAUACUGUGCGUGUGCAUCCAUUGAGAGAGGGAGGGCGAGAUGGUGCCCUUUCACGUGUCGCCGCGUAUCAGCACCCGCUCCCUGCUGGUGACUGGGUGCUGUGUAUCGUUAGUUCUGAGCCUUCUAAUGAUAUUGCAAGGUGUGUAAUGUUUCCUUUUACAGAUGAGGGAGUGUGGGUAGAAAGUGGUGAAAUAAUUCGGUCAAGGUAGCGCACUUGACAGGGCCUGUCUCUCUCUGUCUGAGCUUCAUUUCUGCUACGUUGCUGAUUAAUUCUUGGGAACAUUCAUUCUACUGUGUGUCGUCUAGGCUUUGAAUUAAAGACGCAUAACCCUUAACCACAUUAGCGUACCUGGCAGAUCCAUUCUAGAAUUUAGGUUCGGAUUAAAAAGAGUUAAUAUAAGAUUAGUAUUGUGGGUUCACAUGCAAAUUUGGUAAAGCUGAAAGUUACUGAAGAGGAAGACUCUUAGAAGAUAAGACCGAUUUUAGGGCCUACUUAAGCACUUUUAACCUUUUCUAACUCACUGGAAUAAGUAAGAUCUCCUGCCUUUCUUGAAUGUUAUUUGCAAUUGCAAAAUAACUGUUGUAUCUAAAAACAAAUCAAUUUUAGAUUAUGCUUUCUCAGCCAUAAACACUCUUUUCCCAGGUUCUGAAAACAAUAUGGAGAUGGUGAUGAUGGUCAUUAUGGCAGCGAACAUUUAUUGACCAUCUACUGUUAUGCUAGGCACUGUUGAGUUCUUUCUGUGAAUAAUCACAUUUACUCCUUGAACUAAUACUAUGAGGUAGGUUUUGUGAUUAUUCUUACAAUAUAGAUGAGGAAACUUGAGCCACAGAGAUGUUAAAGUACCUGAAAGUGGUGGCCUUGGAAGUCCAAGCCUAUAGCCUGAUUUUGGAGUCCAUACUUUUCUACAGUUCUGUCCCGAAGAACGAUUUCAAAUAAGACUUUCCCAAGAUCUCGUGCUGUUUAGUGACUUCUAAUCCUUUUGUUUUUAUUCAUUUGCUUCUUUUUUCACUUUGCAUUUUCCAGUAUUAUACGUAAACUUAAUGUAUUUUUUUCUGAGGAUUAAAAAAAAAAGUAGCAAACACUCAUUUCUUAGGGAAGGAGUUUUGAUUCUUAAUAAUGAAUAUUCACAUGUGGGCUCUGGGUGAGGAAGAAAAUAUAUUAAAAAAUAGAAAUUUUGUACCUGUGCACAACUGGAGGGUUGAUAGGCUUGAUUUUUAUAUCCUGGGCAGGAGAGAAAGAAUGUAUUAAACACAGAGCACAUUUGUUAAAGAACCAACUCUUACUUCAUAAUCAGUUUGGUAUUCACACCUUCAUUAGGUGAACUAUUACAAUUUUCUGCAUUUUAAGUUAAUAUUUUUAAAGCCCAGAGCCAGAAAUAAUUAUGCUAAUGCAGCUUUCUGAUUACACAAAUGACUACUUCAUAAUUACACAUAUUAGUACUCCAUAUAUGUUGUCCAGACUGAAAUUCCUUUUGUUUAGUCAUUAAUUAGCUGUUUGACUUAAAAUGUAACUACUGCAUUCCCCACUUGCUGGAUCUGGAUUUCAAAUGGCAUUCUUCCAAAGCCAAACUAAUGCAGCACCAUGAACCUUUUAUAAUGAAAAUGUUCUCCUUACCUAUGUUCAGAUCAUUUUUGUGUGCUGCUAUUUUUGAACUAUUAAUGCUCUUUCUUUUGUUUUUCCGCUAAUACAAAGUUUCUCCAGAGUAAGCAAACAAAAAAAAAUUCUAACUUGUAUUGAUCUUAAAGAAAGUUGCAGCACAGGUUUGUAGUUAGUGAUAGCUUCAGAGAUUUUCAUGUUAAAUGCAUUUUUUUAAUGGUAAAAAUAUCUGUCGAGGGAGCAGUACACAUAAAGACUGAUGCAUUCUCAGCCAUACCAGAGAAGCUGAAGAAGAAAAACUCCUUGAGUAUAAUGCUUUUCAAAGGGAGAGAAGUACCCUUUUAAGUCCUGAAUACUUUUUUCCCUCAACUUUUUAUAUUCAAGUAAGAAAAAUGGACUUUAUGACUUUGAAAAUUGUUAAAUUAUAUUUCAUUUCGGUUAUUUUGUUUUAACAACAAGAAGCCACCUUACUUUAAGAACGUUUUAAAAUCAUUUUUUUGUAUAGGCAUAUAUUCUUGAGUAUUUUUGUAUUUUUGUCUGUAUAACUUAUAAAGUCGUAGAUUUAGGGCUGUAAUUUUUUCAUUGAUUGGUUUUACUAGUAUAUUUACAUAUUAUCUUUUUGAAACAUAGACCCAUAUUUUUGGGGGAUCAUUUAAGACUCUUUAAAUUUCCAAGAUGUGAGCUAAACUGAAAAGUAUUUUUAUACUCUGAUUAUAAAGGUGAGUGAGAUAGUUUGGCAGUGUUAAGGGUUUUUUAAAAUUUAAUUUAUUUACUUUUGGCUGCAUUGGGUCUUCGUUGCUGUGCGCGGGCUUUCUCUAGUUGGGGUGAGCGGGGGCUACUCUUCGUUGCGGUGCAUGGGCUUCUCAUUGCAGUGGCUUCUCUUGUUGCGUGCAGAGCACAGGCUCUAGGUGCACAGGCUUCAGUAGUUAUGGCAUGCAGCCUCAGUAGUUGUGGCUCGUGGGCUCUAGAGCACAGGCUCAGUAGUUGUGGCACAUGGGCUUAGUUGCUCCGCGGCAUGUGGGAUCUUCCUGGACCAGGGCUCGAACCCAUAUCCCCUGCAUUGGCAGGCGGAUUCUUAACCACUGUGCCACCAAGGAAGCUCCAGUGUUAAGGGUUUGACUGGUCCCAGGUCAUUCUCUGAGGCCAGGCAGGGCUUUUCUGGUUAAAUCACAAAAAGGAAAAUGCACACAUGACCCACAAUACACAGAGCCAGGUUUUAAGAGUGAAAGCGUUUGAUUUUUAUAUAUGGUACCAAAUUUGUAAUUAAAUGUUAAUUUUGUAGCAGUUGGAUUAACCAUAAUUCCUCUGUUUAACUUAGUAUGAAGUGAGGUAAAUGGAUACUGAGAUCCAGAUGAGCACAGGCCUGUUUGUCAGACAGCCUGCGUCACCUUGGCGUUGGUGGUAGCAAAGGUAGCAGCAGAGGGUGCAUUGGAAAGCUGGAGGCAGCACGUCCUUCCAUGUCAGUGAGGGGGGACAGGAGAAGAGAGAUCAAUACGGAUGGGGUUUGGCUCUGAGGAGCAGUAAAAGAAGCAGAUCUUAUUACCUGCAGAGAGUGGGGUAGUGUUUAUAAAAUUUGAAUAAGAUGUUAAAGAAAUCCUUAUUUAAAGGAAGAACAUUUCUGUAGACCCAGCACAGUUUGACCUAAACUAUUUUUAUUAUAUUACUUCAAAAUGUAGCACAUAGAAGAAUAUUUGGCCCAUACUCAGUGUUCAGUAAAUAUUUGCUGGAUGAAUGAAAUAUGGAAAAACACAAAAAACUCAGGAUAAAUUUCUUAAUUCUUAGAAUUCUUCUGUGGAUAUAAAACUCAAAUAGAUAUAUAUACAUUACAUAAAAGAAACCACAAAACUAAUAAAAUUUAUAUUAAGAACAUUAGUUCAAUGCAACGGAUGAUAUUUUGCCCAAACUGAAUUGGCUCUUGCAACAUGAAUAUAACCCUGACUGUUCUUAGGCAGGUUCUUUUGAAUUUGGCACGUGGCACUACUGUGUGCCCUGCAGUUAUCCUGCCCCUCCCCCACUGAACUAGUCAUAAACAGCUUUUUGCUCAGCAAGCCUUUCUCUAAGUCUGUCAUUAGGCCUUGGCGCAAAUAUAUCAUUUAGUCUUAAGUUCACUUCUGGUUUUUCUCAUCAGUUCAAGAACAACUUAAAUGACACUACUGGAUACCCCUGCCACUGUAAUUGCAAACCAUAGACUUGAGCAAUGAAUUCGCGUGUUAGAAUAUAUUUGUUAUAGGUUUUACUUUUUCAGAUUGUGAAUUAAGAUGUGAAAUGAAAACUUUCUUAGUGAACCCAAAGAUCACUGAUGUCUUGGAAAGGAUACAGAGUUGGCAGGUUAGAAACAGGUAUAGUCUUGGCUCUGCCCCCAGUCAGCUGAGUGUUAGGUAUGAUACCUGCUAAGCCUCUUUUGUGUCUUUGGUGGUCGUGUGAGGUUAUGCUUUGAGACCUUUAAAGAUUUGUCUUAAGCCCAGCUCUCCAGUUUUGGAGGCUAGAUCACUGUUGCUUCCAGAGUUGUUUGAGAGUGCCAGCCUGGGAGUUUACUUUUUUUUUUUUUUAACAUCUUUAUUGGGGUAUAAUUGCUUUACAAUGGUGUGUUAGUUUCUGCUUUAUAACAAAGUGAAUCAGUUAUACAUAUACAUAUGUUCCCAUAUCUCUUCCCUCUUGUGUCUCCCUCCCUCCCACCCUCCCUAUCCCACCCCUCCAGGCGGUCACAAAGCACCGAGCUGAUCUCCCUGUGCUAUGCGGCUGCUUCCCACUAGCUAUCUACCUUAUGUUUGGUAGUGUAUAUAUGUCCAUGCCACUCUCUCGCUUUGUCACAGCUCACCCUUCCCCCUCCCCAUAUCCUCAAGUCCGUUCUCUAGUAGGUUUGUGUCUUUAUUCCUGUCUUACGCCUAGGUUCUUCAUGACAUUUUUUUAAAAAUUCCAUAUAUAUGUGUUAGCAUACGGUAUUUGUCUUUCUCAUUCUGACUUACUUCACUCUGUAUGACAGACUCUAGGUCUAUCCACCUCAUUACAAAUAGCUCAAUUUCGUUUCUUUUUAUGGCUGAGUAAUAUUCCAUUGUAUAUAUGUGCCACAUCUUCUUUAUCCAUUCAUCCGAUGAUGGGUACUUAGGUUGUUUCCAUCUCUGGGCUAUUGUAAAUAGAGCUGCAAUGAACAUUUUGGUACAUGACUCUUUUUGAAUUAUGGUUUUCUCAGGGUAUAUGCUCAGUAGUGGGAUUGCUGGGUCGUAUGGUAGUUCUAUUUGCAGUUUUUUAAGGAACCUCCAUACUGUUCUCCAUAGUGGCUGUACCAAUUCACAUUCCCACCAGCAGGGCAGGAGUGUUCCCUUUUCUCCACACCCUCUCCAGCAUUUAUUGUUUCUAGAUUUUUUGAUGAUGGCCAUUCUGACUGGUGUGAGAUGAUAUCUCAUUGUAGUUUUCAUUUGCAUUUCUCUAAUGAUUAAUGAUGCUGAGCAUUCUUUCAUGUGUUUGUUGGCAGUCUGUAUAUCUUCUUUGGAGAAAUGUCUAUUUAGGUCUUCUGCCCAUUUUUGGAUUGGCUUGUUUGUUUUUUUGUUAUUGAGCUGCAUGAGCUGCUUGUAAAUUUUGGAGAUUAAUCCUUUAUCAGUUGCUUCAUUUGCAAAUAUUUUCUCCCAUUCUGAGGGUUGUCUUUUGGUCUUGUUUAUGGUUUCCUUUGCUGUGCAAAAGCUUUGAAGUUUCAUUAGGUCCCAUUUGUUUAUUUUUGUUUUUAUUUCCAUUUCUCUAGGAGGUGGGUCAAAAGGGAUCUUGCUGUGAUUUAUGUCACAGAGUGUUCUGCCUAUGUUUUCCUCUAAGAGUUUGAUAGUUUCUGGCCUUAAAAAAUAAAACAACUCUUAAUCAUCCUUUCAUUUAUUUUUAUGUUUAAGGUGUACAAUUCAGUGGUCUGUAGUAUGUACACAAAGUGGUGCGCCCAUCACCACCAUCUAAUUCCACAACAUUUUCAUCACCCUCUGGGGGUUUUCUGUCCCUCUGGCCUUGGUGGAGUCGGCACCUUCAAGGGGCAGGCAGCCUCUCUUCAGGGGGCUGCCUGUUCUUCUUCGGUAUCUUCUCCAAGUUUUCAUACCCGUCUAGCACUGGAGUUGACAACUGAAGGGUUUGUGCUUUUACCCAGGUCUUAACGUAUAGCGCUGUCUCCUGACAUUGUUUUUUAAAAUGUUAAGGUGCAAAUGAGGAUGCAUUUUGGACCCACAUUUUUUAAGUUGGAUGGUAGGGGCUUGUAGAGUUUUCAGUUGCAUUAAAACUGUAUAUUCUGUGGACUCUUUAUCGAUGGGCUGUGUGGGGAUAAAAGAGCCCACUGCUUUCAGUAAUGUUGGGAGAUUUUGGUGGUGGUGACUCCCAUGAGGAGAAGCUGAGCCCCACUGAAACGUCAGCUGAGACAGAAGAGGGAAGAACACCUGGAAAGGCUGGCAUUCUUAAAAAAAAAUUUUUUUUAAAAAUUUAUUUAUUUUUGUCUGUGUUGGGUCUUCGUUGCUGUGCGCGGGCUUUCUCUAGUUGCCGCGAGCGGGGGCAGUUUACUGCCCUACCGGUGCACGGGCUUCUCAUUGCAGUGGCUUCUCUUCUUGAGGAGCACGGCUCUAGGAGUGCGGGCUUCAGUAGUUGUGGCUCAUGGGCUCUAGAGCGUGGGCUCAGUAGUUGUGGUGCACGGGCUUAGUUGCUCCGUGGCAUGUGGGAUCUUCCCGGACCAGGGCUCGAAUGUGUGUCCGCUAUAUUGGCAGGCGGAUUCUUAACCACUGGGCCACCAGGGAAGCCCAGCAUUCUUUAGCUUAGUGAUUUUCUUGCUGAGCUGGCGUCAGAAUUACCUGGAGGGCUUGUUAGCACCCAGAUUGCUGGGCUCCACCCCAGCGUUUCUGCCCUAGUAGGUCUGGGGUGGGGCCUGAGAAUGGGCGUGUCUAACGUGUUCCAGGUGAAACUCAUCAAGAUGAGGACUCCCAGCCUCCCCGACAUGUAUUCUGAGCAACUUCACUUGGCUUUAGUCUCAGCUUUGCUACCCCUCAACCACUCAGGUAUAUUUCAGUGUGCGUUGGCUAUAUGGGAUGUAGUUAUGCUUUCUAGUGUCUUUUUCUCAUGUCUCAUGUGCCUAGAAGUCAGGAAAUGCAGUUAUUUUUGGGGUAUUUACCUAAAGUAAUAUAGGGAGCCCUUUUUAAAGUAUGGGUGGCAGUGGUAGGGGUAUGUGGAGGCAUAUUCCAAUUUUUGUGACUUUUUUUUUUAAGAGGGAGCAUGAAGGAUAAUCUCCACCCCAUCCCCUCCUUCCAUCUCCAUUUGGCCCAGAUAGCUGAAAACAGCCGAACCCUAAAGCUGACAGCAUCUACCUACUUACCUACCUACUUGUCUACCACCUUCCAGUCUUUUUAAUACUACCUACCAAAUGUUUCUAAUGAUAAAUUAUGUUGUCUUGGUGAUUAUGAAAUUCUGUUGGAGAUUUUAAAAGAAGUUCCUAAAAAAAUAACCUGUUUUCUAGUUUUAAUGCUUUUUAGAAGCCUGGGGGAAAAAAGAAAAAGUGCAAAAAGAAUUCCUUUCUAGAUGGAUGAGAAACCACAGAUGGGCUGGGGUGAAUGUGAUGAAAGAUAAGUGUGUGUUUGGGAGAGUGUUUUCUCUGUUAGGGAGAAUUUUAUGGGCAGGAUGUGUGGAUUUCAUGGCGCUUUCUCAUAUGCUUCAGUGGUUGUGUGUUCUCUGGUCCGGUGAAGAGUGUAGAGUUGAAAUAAAUGUAACAUUUAAAGAACCUGCUGUUUACAUUUGGGAGAAAUGUGGAAAGUGGGAGAAGCUCCAGCUCUGGGGAAUUGAACAGGGUUUAGUGGGUGUGUGUGCGCGUCCAGGUCGGGCAGCUGCGGUAGAACCAAGGUGGAAUUCUGAGGCAAGCUUCAUUUAGCGCUGAAUUCACUUUCCUGGGAUUCCAAAGGAGUUGAUGGAAAAAAGGGAAAGGUUCCUGUGUCCAAGAAACCAGGAAGCUGAAAAGUAGCUUGACCUGGGCUGGGAACUAGAGCCACCUGAGCCUGAAGUUAAAGUGAGCAGGUGCCUGAGGGGCUGGGCUCCAGGUAUAGUCACAGCCGAAACCCUUGAACCCAGGCCACGCCUUCUAUUUUUUGCUGUUUUUUAUUAUUAAGAUUUAAGUUUUAGAGUGGUUUAAGGUUCACAGCAAAAUUGAGGGGAGGGUACAGAGAGUUCCCACACGCCCCCUGCCCCCUCAUUUGUGCACUCUCUCCCACUGUCAGCAUCCCCCACUGGAGUGGUACCUUUCUACAGUCAGUGAACUUACGUCGUCGACAUGUCAUCAUCAUCCAGAGUCCAUAGUUUACAUUGUGGUCCACUCUUGGUGUUGCACAUUCUGUGGGUUUGGACAAAUGUAUAAUGACAUGCAUCCAUCAGUGUAGUUUCAUACAAUGAUUAGAUUAGUUUCACACAAUGAUUUGAUUAGUUUUACUGCCCUAACAAUCCUCUGUGCUCUGCCAGUUUAUCCCCCCAGCCCCUGGCAACUGCUGAUCUCUCUAUUGUCUCCACGGUUUUGCCUUGUCCAGAAUGUCAGAGAGUUGGAAUCAUACAGCACGUAACCUUUUCAGAUUGGUUUCUUGCACUUAGUAAUAUGCACUUAAGGUUCCUCCCUGUCCUUUUAUGGCUUGGUAGCUCAUUUCUUUUUAGCGCUAAAUAAUACUCCAUUGUUUGGGUGAACUGCAGUUUAUUUAUCCAUUCACCUGCUGAAGGACAUCUUGGUUGCUUCCAGGUUUUGGCAAUUAUGAAUAAAGCUGAUAUAAACAUUCAUGUUCAGGAUUUUGCAUAGACAUAAGUUUCCAACUCCUUCGGGUAAAUAUCAAAGAGUGCAAUUGCUGGAUCGUAUGGUAAGACUAUGUUUAGUUUAGUAAGAAACUGCCAAAACUGUCUUCCAAAGUGGCUGUACUGUUUUGUGUUCCCACCAGCAAUGAAUGAGAGUUCUUUCUGCUCCGCAUCCUUACCAACGUUUGGUGUUGUCCGUGUUCUGGAUUUUGGCCAUUCUAAUAGGUGCAUAGUGGUAUCUCAUUGUUGUCUUAAUUUGCAUUUCCUUGGUGACAUGUGAUGUGGAGCAUCUUUUUUUUGUUUUUUAUAAAUUUAUUUAUUUAAAAAAAUUUUAUUUGUUUUUGUCUGCGUUGGGUCUUCAUUGCUGCACGUGGGCUUUCUCUAGUUGCAGAGAGCUGGGUCUACUCUUCAUUGUGGUGCGUGGGCUUCUCAUUGGGGGGCUUCUCUUGUUGUGGAGCACAGGCUCUAGGCGCGUGGGCUUCAGUAGUUGUGGCACACGGGCUCAGUAGUUGUGGCUCGCGGGCUCCAGAGCGCAGGCUCAGUAGUUGUGGCGCAUGGGCUUAGUUGCUCUGGGGCAUGUGGGAUCUUCCCAGACCAGGGCUCAAACCCGUGUCCCCUGCUUUGGCAAGCGGAUUCUUAACCACUGUGCCACCAGGGAAGUCCCUCAAGUUGAUUUUUGUGAAGGAUGUAAGGCCUGUGUCUAAAUUCACAGUUUUUGACACAUGUAUGUCCAUUUAUUCCAACACUAUCUGGAAGUGUUGGAAAGACUGUUUUUACUGCACUGUAUUGCCUUUGUUCUUUUGUCAAAGAUCAGUUGAUUAUGUUUGCGUGGGUCUAUAUUUGGGCUUUCUAUUCUGUGUUUCACUGAUCUAUUUGUCUAUUCUUCGGACAGUAUCACACUGUUGUGAUUAUUGUAGCUUCGUAGUAAGUUUUGAGAUCGGAUGGUGCCAGUCCUCUGAUUUUGUUCUUCUCAUUCAAUACUAAGUUGGUUAUUCUAGGCCUCUCCUUGUAAACUUUAGAAUCAAUUUGUUGCUGGGAUUUUGAUUAGGAUUGUGUUGAAUCUAUAGAUCAAGUUGAGAAGAACUGACAAUAGUGAGUCUUCCUAUCCAUGAAUAUGGACUAUCCCUCCAUUUAUUUAGUUUUUUAAAAUUUAAUUCAUCAGAGUUUUGGAGUUUUCCUCAUAUAGCUCUUACACAUAUUUUGUUUUUAUACCUAAUUCCUUUUUUGGGGGGUGUGCUAAUGUAAAUAGUAUUGUGUUUUAAAUUUCAAAUUUCGCUCGUUCAUUUCUGAUGUAUAGGAAAGUGAUAGACUUUCUAUUAUUAAUCUUGUAUAAUCGCUUAUUAGCUCCAGGAAUUUUUCAAGAAGCCAAGCCCCCGAAAGAGAGACCAUCAUUUUGUGUGUAGCUCAUGCCUGAAAUAGUUCUUUUUUUUUUUUUCUUUUUCUGCGAUACGCGGGCGUCUCACUGUUGUGGCCUCUCCCGUUGCGGAGCACAGGCUCCAGACGCGCAGGCUCAGCGGCCAUGGCUCACGGGCCCAGCCGCUCCACAGCAUGUGGGAUCUUCCUGGACCGGGGCACGAACCCGUGUCCCCUGCAUCGGCAGGUGGACUCGCAACCACUGCGUCACCAGGGAAGCCCAAUAGUUCUCUUUUAAAGAGGUCAGUGGGUAUCACUGUUGGGAAGGGGGAAAGUCUCAACACAGAAGGUCAAGGACAAAGUGUUGAGAGGUCACACCCUCUUAGUGCGCUGUGUGGGGGACAGAGAGGCUGCCGAGAGGGAGGCUUUCCGAUGUUACCUGGGGUUCUUAUUUAGGAAAGGCUGCAAAAGGCUGCCUUUUCAGAAAGAGAAGGGGAAAAAACACUUAAAUACAAGUUUAGAAACAAUUGAAAGAAAGCGAAAAUGUCAUCUGCUUCCCAUUUCUGAGGAAGGAUACAUUAAAAUAGCUUCGGAUUAAGCAGGAUCUGUGAAAUCGAGGUCAGAGUGUAGUCAUUUCCCAUUUUUCCUGACAUGUCUUUGAACUAUGUGGUGACAGGCUCCCCUUUCCCGGCAUCAGAAGACCAGUUGUUAAUGUGCAUUUUAAAGUUUUAUUUUAUUUUUGUGCUGUUGAGCAAAAUUUAGACUUCCUAACUCUAAUCAUUUAAGAAUCAUUUUUGUUAAAUGCUUUAAUUAUUAUCAAUCAAGACUCUGUAUUUAAGCAUUUUCCAGUAAUUUUUAACAAUCCAUUCCUCAGGCAAUUCAGAGAACCUGCUGUGUGGUGAUUAUGUAUCUUUUAUUUCAUAAAUGAGGAUAGUGAGACAUAAGUGUUUUGGAAUCAGCAUUGAUCAUCAUCUAAUAUAGCGUAUAAUUUACUUCUUUUUAUUGUGUAUUGUGUGGCUGCCCCUGCUAGGCUGUCAGGUCCUGGUGGACAGAAAUCCUCAUGUGCUCUGUUCACUGAUGGAUCCCAAGAGCUUAGAAUUAACUUAGGGGCACCUACUGGGUGUUCAGUGACUGUUCCUUAAAUGAACGAGUGCGUGAAGAAUCCAACAACAGAUACUGUUUAGGUUUGUACUCAAGUGUGCUGCUAAUACGUCAUCCCUGAGUGCGACAGCCCGGCUUGGUGAUAGUCAUUGGUGUCGCCAAACAGAUCUAGGGGAGCUGCCCCUGAAGAACUUGAGACGUGGAGGAGAGGGUGGGAAUGUGUGCUUCCUGCACGCGAGCAGCUUCCAGCUUCCCUCCGUCACAGGAGGGAGGAUUGAGGCAGCACGCUCACUUCUUUGUCUCAGACCCCACGGUUCCCUGCGUCAGGGUGAGUGAGGGUGAGGCCGGAAGCAAGGCAGGAAGCCUUGGGGGAGGGAGGACUUUCCCCACCCUGACUUCACACAGUGCAGCCCAGGUUGAAAGAUGGCCAGGUCACCCCGAAGCCUGCCAUCAGAGAGGAACAGUUGACUUUCUGAUGUAAGUCUCUUCAGACAUUUUCCUGCGCUGAUGCGGGCAUAUAUUUUAUUAUUUGUUAACUCAGAAUGGGUUUACUAUACAUGUAGUUUUGUAGCCUGGCUUUUCUCCUAAUAUGUUGCGUGUAUCUUGGGCCUUUUGGACAGUGGGCCACAGCAUCGUGUUUAUUGACCUCAGCCUGCUGGUGUUCCGUUGGGUUUCAUGCCUUCAUUCGUGCCUUCGGCAACAUUUUUGAGGGCUAAUAUGUGCCAGGCACUGGUUGAGGGUGCUAAGGAUCCCAGACAGACGAGGUUCCUGUUGUCGUGCAGCUCAUAGUUUAGAAGGGAAGACGGUACACGAGCAAGUAAGUAGAUAAGAAUUUCAGAGAGUGCUAAGAAGAAAACAGAACAGAAUACUGAGGUGUGAGCACGUGAGGUGGGUUGGUUGUGGAAGGCCUUUGUUAGAGGCAUUUGAGCGGAGAUCCGAGUGAUGAAGGAGGGCUGCUUGAGGAUCUAGGGGAACAUUUUAGGCAGAGGGAAUAGAAGUGCAAAUGCCCUGAGGCAGGAAUGCAUUUGGCUUGAGGAACAAUAUAGGCAACAUUGUGGCUGGAGCAGAGCGGACAUUGGGAAGGUGAUCGGCAGGGUAGGCAGGGGCUGGAUCCUGAAGUGCUUUGUAGGCACAAAGACUUGGAAUUUUACGAGUAACAGGAAGUCAUCAGAGGCUGAACUAUCAGGAGGUGAUAGGCAUAAUGUGGAUUCUUUAUUUUCAAAGCUGUUCUCUGGCUGCUCUGUGACUGACGGAGAAGCAGAGAGGCCAGUUAGAGGCUGUUGCAGUAAUUGGCGAUCUUGGGAAGAGACGAUGGAGGCAGUGGAGAAGGUGAAAAGUGGGGUGUCUUUUGGAGGCAGAGGUGUCAGGACUCAUGGGAUUGGAUAUGGGGGGUGGGGGAGGAGAGAUCAAGACGGGUUCCUCGUUUGCAGACUCAGCUACCGCACUGGUGCUGGUGUUCAUAGCUGAGACAAAGGAGGCCGAAGGGGGUGUGGCGGGGGUGGGUCACGAGUGCUCUCCCGGGCUGUAUCGACUGGAGAUGUCUCUUAGACACUGAAGUGGCUGUGCUGAGUGGGCCACUGUCUCGAAGCCUGAGUGAGGUCCUGUCUGGAGACAUAAAUUGGAGGGCUGCUAGACCGGAUGAGAUCACUCUGGGGCAAAAGUUGGAUGGAGAAGGGAGGAGAUAAGCCCUGAGUUGGAGCGGGGGGAGCCAGCCACGCAGGCUACGGAGAGCCAGGGAGUAGAGGGGAACCAGGCAAGCGGGAGCUGGGAGCUGGGAGAAGGAGGGGCCCAAGGAGGCUGUAUCGGUUUUCUAUUUGCUGCUGUAACAAAAUGACCACAAACCGAGUGGCCUAAAGCAGCGCAGGUUUAUUGUUAGAGUUCUGUAGGUCGGCCAGCCGUCUGGCAAGGGUCUCACUGGGCCAGAAUCACGGUGUGGCCAGGGCUGCGUUCCUUCCUGGAGGCCCCAGGGGAGGCUGUUCCCUGGCCUGCUGCACCUUCCAGAGGCUGCUCACGCUCCGGCGCUCGGAGCCCCUCCCUCCCUGUUCAAAGCCAUCGCCGUGGGGUCUCUCUGACCCCGCUGUGCCGUCACUUCUCUUUCUCCGACCUGACCUCUCUCUUCUCCCUCUUCAGUUUUAAGGACCCCUGUGGUUCCAUUGGGCCCACACAAGUCGUCCAGGAUCCUUUCCCUGUUUUAAGGCCGCCUGAUUAGCAACCUUAAUUGUUCUAUAUUUACAGGUUCUGGUGAUUAGAACAUGGCUAUCCUGGGAGGGGGCACUGUUCUUCCUGCCACAGAGGGUGUCAUCAGAGGGGACGGAGUAGUCAAGUCAAGUGAGGGCGGGGCCGCCACCGCUGGGUUUGGGCACCGGGAGGCCCUUGGUCACCCUGGUGAAUGGUUCCAGUGGAAUGUGGGUGAAGAGCCAAUGAGGCGAGGAUGGCAGGUGUUAAGGAAUGAAGAACCCAGAGUCGAACCAAGAUGUGGUUUAUAGACAUGAAGGUACCUGAAGAAAGAGUUAAUGUGGUUAUUCUGAAAUAAGGAGCAGACGUACUGAUGCCUCUCUGCUUGCCCCUGGGCCAGUGGGCAGAGCCCUGGUCAUUGGCGGCCGCACCUCACCACGUCAGGUGCUCUGUCACCCCACGGGCGGCUGGCCACAUUUCUGAAGUCAGCGUGGAACUCGUGCCUUUUAUCCCUUGGGGACUGGCUGUGGUCUGGCCACAACUCAGUGCUUCGGUGAGAGUGUGUCCUAUGUGCAGUGCAGAGCUGCAGUCCCUUCCUGUCCUUUCCUUACUUCAUUACGUUUUAAUGACAUUCAUACCCAACAGUAUUUAUCGAACACUAGGCUCUGGGGAAAACAGGGACGAACCAAACAGAUCCCUGCUCUGUGGAGCUUGCCUUCUGGAGGACCUGUCUCAAACGAAUGGGUACAUCCGAAGCUGUCAUAAAGCUGUCAUCUCCCUGGAGGCGAGGCAUUAAGUUUGCGCGGUCCACUCUCUUCUGGAAAUCUCGGGUGCUCCAACCAGCUGGUGGACCCUCCGUUUACCUCGUUACUGUGGCACCUGCUGGAGGUGACCCGUGUUUCCUGCUCCUUACCCGCAGCUGCCCACGGUUACCCCUGCUCUUAGGAGCUAAUUCCCACUUAUGCUCUUUCUCUGAGAGGUCUUCUUUUCCUUUCUUUCUUCCUUCUCCGGCUUAAAUUCCAGAGUUCAUAGUACAUAGUCACUCUCUUAUAGGUACCUUGACUUUCCUGCCCUCCUCUCCUCCUCCUCUCACAUCGAGCUGGACAAAUCCCGAUCCCGAAUGAACCCUACCUGCUGGCUUCUCUGUGCCUUCACCCAAGCAGCUCAGUGUUGCUGGAGAAACAAGAUAAAGACUCAGACUUGAGUCUCUGUAAAUUCUUGAUCCCCAGCGUCAAGUGGGCAGUGACCACUACCCACAGUUUUGUGAGAUUCCCCUCCAGCCGCGCGUGUUCUCACUCUCCACAACCACGUCAUACUGCCUGCAUUCUUCAUGCUAGACCACCCCUUCGCUGUCACCACCACCCCACGCCUCUCAGCCCCUGAAUCCCCCCCAACAUUUAGCAAAUAAAGGCAGCAGGUGCUCUAGAGCUUCCUGCCACCAAGCCGGGACUGUGUCUUCCCUCCUUCUGUCAGAGGCUGGUCUGUUCACGUGAGCUCUGGACGCGGACCCUCUCCUCUCCAGGGACUUCAGUCCGGGCGGUUGUUUUGUGUUCUCCUGCAUCAUCAGUCCCUCUGUUUGUACCAGAUCGUUCUGAUUCACGUACAGAGGUCUUCUGGGUGUGCCCAAUCUGCAACAGAAAAUAAACAACCUCCCUCUCCAUCAAUAGCCCCAUUUUAAAAUCCUCAACAUCAAAACUUCUCAAGAAAGUAAUCCACAUAUUUCUUCCACUUUAUUGGUUUCCAGUUAUUCUUCACCUAUUCCUGUCCCCCCUCCCUCCCCUGCCCGAAACUGCCCAUCUUUUCCAACAUCAUACAAAUCGCCAAACCCAGGAGACACGAUCCUCACCUUAUGCAGCCUCUUAACAGCUUUCAGCGUGGUCGCCCCUCCCUUCCUCCCGAGAUGCUUCUCUGUGCUGACACCCUCCUCUGGGUGUUCCUCCUGCCUCUCGUACCCCCCCCCCCAUCAGAUCUCUUUUCUCAGUCCAGCCUUUCCAGGGUGAAGUUCCCUGGGGCUUCUGCCCUCCACCUCUCUUCUCAUACAACGUUCUCUCGUUAAGUAGUUUCAGCUCCUAACAGAGCUCAAAAUACGGUCUACAUGUUUCAAAUUAAGCCCUGACUUUUCCUCAUUUACUCAGAUGCCUUACUUGCACCUCAGACAUAAUCAUCCAGAACUGAACUCUCGGUCUUUCCCCAGAUCUGCUGCGCCUACAGUGGUCCUUAUUUUUUAUUUCACCCCCAAGAGCAAGUGCAGCCCCAAACCCUAUCAAGCCGCCCCCCUCCUCUCUCUGUCACAGGGUUUCUCGGGCCCUUUUGCAUUCGAGUGAGGAAGCCUGUGGACACGUUUUCAGAAUCAGUCUUGAAUAGUUAUAAAAAUCUUAAUGAAACACAGAUUUGUGACAUGGUGCUAUAUAUACUUCUUAAAUGUUCUUAAAUAACAGAUCUAGUGGUGGGUCUGUAGCUACCACAAAUUUGAAGUAAUGAUAAACACAAAUGAUACUUCAUAGUAAUGAUAGUAACAGGGAUUAAAAAAGAGUCUGAGAUUCAAAAGUCACAGGUACUGCCCGUAUUGCUGAGUUGUUGCCUGUAUUCACAAUUAAACACGAUACUGUAUUUCAUUUGGAGGUUACUGACCUAAGGGUGUAGUUCUUUUCUCAUCCAAGUUCAUGGACCCCCUGUUCUAUCUUCACUUGUUUAAUCCUUCCAUUUCCCAUCGUCACUGUCACCGCUGCUCACCUGCACGUCAGCAGGAGCCUCCUACGUGCCUGCCAUGCCUCGACUCUGAACCUCCUCUGGUUCAUUCUCCCCACAGCAGCCAGAGUUACCUUUUUAAAAUAGUAAAAUGCAAAUCGAAUCACGUUUCUUCCCCAGCUUGCACUCUUCAGGAGCUUUCACUGCUCCCUGGAUAUAAACUCAAGCACAUUAAGGUGCCCGGCGGAGCCUGCCUCUCUCUAGCCUUACCCGGGGCCCUCCUUCCCUCCCACGCUUGCUGAGCUCCAGCCACCCCUCCCUGCUUCCAGGUCUUCACCUGUGCCUGGCUCUUCCCCACCUCAGGGCCCUGCAACAUGCUGUUUCCACCCUUAGUUACACUCAGUAAUCUAUUGCCGCCACGACGGUGUUACCAUAAACUUAGCAGCUUUAAACACCAUAUGUUUUUUACCUCACAAGUUUUUGUGGGUCUGGUGUCCAGGCCCGGCUUAGCUGGGCCCUCUGCCUUAAGGCUGCAUGCAGUCAGGUUGCCGGGCGGGGGUGGAAUCUUACCUGAAGGCUUGAUUGUGGAAGGAGACUCUUUGUAGCUAAGGAGGUUGUCGGCGGCGUUUAUUUCCAGGUGAGCCAAUGUACUGUGGACUUCAGUGUCUCACUGGUUAUCAGCUGAAGAUGGCCCUCAGUGCCUCUUUACCUGUGUCUUCCUAACACGGCCACUUGGCUAAAAGCCAGCAAGGGGGAGAGAGUCCUAGCAAGAAGGAUGCUACAGUCUUAUGUGAUGGAAUCACACACACACACUCACUCCCAUCCCUUGGCUGUGUUCUGUUGGUUAGAAUCGAUUCACGGUCACUCCCGCGUUCAAGGGGAGGGGUUUGCACAGGAGGCCAGUGUCAUGGGAGCCACUGUAGAGCUGGUCCAGCUCCCUCCCACCCCACCCUCAACCCACACACCUAUACUUGAAAGAAGAAACAAAUUUCCACAUGCCUCUCCGGAGAACCGCCUCACAUACAGAAUCCCUGUGGUCAGGCCACCGUGUGCCAAACUGUACACGACACGCAGGAGCUGAAUCUACCUCUUUAGGAACUUGCGGUCCUGAAGACGCUCAAGGUAGUAGAUUCAGACAAGGGGGAGAGGACGUCUUCCUCAGAUUUCUCCUCAUUCCUCUUUUCUUUCUUCCUUUCAUUCACCAUCAUGUACACAAUUCCUACCAUGUGCCAAGUGCUGGGGUUAGAAACAGGAGGAACACGACAGGAGCUUGCAGUUUGGAACUGUGUUUCUCAGUUGAAUACUUGUAUUUUUGAACCGGAAGGUCUGGCAGUUUUCAAACUUAAAAAAAUUUUUUUUUGAGUGUUUGAGCCUUUCUUUCCAAACAUAAACUUAUGGGUAAGCUGAAUCUGUAAAACAGAUGAAAGUGGAGAUGCUCUGCUUGAAGCUGGGGAGUGGGGCCAGCUCUUCCCGCUUGGGCUUCUGGCCGCCUCCAGCAGCAGCUGCCCCAGCCAGCCCUUAACCCUGGCUGUUAGCAAGCAAGGUUAGAACACGACUGCUGUCGUCCACGCCGGCACUGGAGCUCAGGAAGCUGCCGCCCAGAGGGGGAGACCAAGUUAGUGCAGACCAGGUCCAUGCAUGCUCUGGACCAGCGGCUCUCACAUGGGGCCGGUGCUGCCCCUUCAGAGGGUGUUUAGCAACAAGUGGGAUAGCUUUUGGGGUGUCGGAGUGAGUGUGUGUGUGGGUGUUCCGUGAUUCUGUGCAAAGUGGUCAGCAUGCCCCCUGAGAAGCCCAGUCCUGCUCCUGCUCCCAGGCCCACGCUCUGUCUCUGUGUUGGCGGUUCUCACUCCUGGCCGCGUGUUAGAGUCACCUGGACAGCCUUUUUUUUUUUUUUUUUUGGCUCCGUUGGGUCUUUGUUGUUGCGCACAGGCUUUCUCUAGUUGUGGUGAGCGGGGCUACUCUUCGUUGUGGUGCACGGGCCUCUCAUUGCAGUGGCUUCUCUUGUUGCAGAGCCCGGGCUCUAGGUGCGCGGGCUUCAGUAGUUGAGGCAUGCGGGCUCAGUAGUUGUGGCUGGUGGGCUCUAGAACGCAGGCUCAGUAGUUGUGGCGCACGGGCUUAGUUGCUCUGUGGCAUGUGGGAUCUUCCCAGACCAGGGCUCGAACCCGUGUCCCCUGCUUUGGCAGGUGGAUUCUCAACCACUGCGCUGCCAGGGAAGUCCUGAACAGCUUUUUAAACAUACCGGGGCCUGAGCCCCACCUCUGAGCAAUUAAACUGAGGUCUCUGGGGUGGGGCCCCGGGCUUGGGGUUUUAAAAGCUCCCUGGGAGUUUCUAAAGUGCAGCCGGGUUGGGAAUCACCGCCUUAAAUCUUCUGUUGACUGCUUUCAGAAGAAGUCUUCACUGUAAUUAAACAAAUUGUUGUUAAAAGUAAGCAAAAGGAAAUCUGGAGGGGAACAUCUGUAAUAGAUAAGUGGGCUUUAUUAAAUGUGCAGUUACUUUAUUAGAACACAGAUCAUUGGAACGAACUGACACUUUGGAAUUUGGAUUAAAACUCUUUAAGCCACGGAUAACAUCAAAGUCUGGUGUCUGUGAGGGCAGAGGUUUUCUGUUUCUGUUUUUUUCUGUAGCCUUCUUUAUCCUUUUUUCCCUUCUGAAUAUUUCAGCCUGAUAUGAAACACCUAUUUGUAACAAAUCACUUUUUCUUUCCUUCCCAUAGUCCAUCUCCAUCAGUUAGAUGCUCUUCUUUACUCAUACCUUAAGGUUCUUUUCUGUCUGUUCCAUUACCCACCCAGUCCCAAAACGCUGUGACAGUGAGCAUUUCUGAUGACGUGGCCAUCCAGUUUGGAAAGACACCGUACUUAAAAGAUGAUCAGUUUCUGAGAAACUUAAGUUGUUAGAAAACUUUAUAUUGUUGGCUCGGGGAAAGAUCUGGAAAAAUGACCAAGACGUUAGCUCAGACCUCAUGGAGGGAGUUGAGAGGGUAGGUAUUGGCUACUAAUGGCCUCUCAUAACUUUUCAUUGAGGAUAGUCUUACUAGUCUGAAAGUAAUUAUAAGCAUCCUCAUUGUACAUUCCCAUAGUUCUUUUACCGUACUGUUUCUGUCUGAAACUGACAUAAUCUCACUAUGACAACAAAUUUAGUAUGAUUUUAAAAAUAUUUCACAAAUAUAUAGUGAAGAUUAAUCUCACUUUGCUUUCUAACUUUUACCAAAAUAUUUUUUUUCCUCCAUGCCCACUCAAUUUUUUUUUUUUUUUUCUGGUACGCGGGCCUCUCACUGUUGUGGCCUCUCCCGUUGUGGAGCACAGGCUCUGGAUGCGCAGGCUCAGCGGCCAUGGCUCACAGGCCCAGCCACUCCGCGGCAUGUGGGAUCUUCCCGGACCGGGGCACGAACCCGUGUCCCCUGCAUCGGCAGGCAGACUCUCAACCACUGCGCCACCAGGGAAGCCCCCACUCAUUAGUUUUUGAUUUUCUUACUGUUUAAUUCUUUUUUUUUGCAUUAUUCAUCUGUACCAUUGAAUUAUCUGCUUGUCAUUUUCUGUAAAUUGAUGCCAAGUGUAAAUGGUUUAGACUUGUACCAUUUCACUCUUUUAUGAGAUUGCAUUGGAAAUACAAUUUAAUCUUUAGUCAGGUUGACUUUUUUUUUUAACUUUAUUUAUUAUUUUAGCAUCUUUUUUUUUUAACAUCUUUAUCGGAGUAUAAUUGCUUUACAAUGGUGUGUUAGUUUCUGCUGUGUCACAAAGUGAAUCAGCUAUACGUAUACAUAUAUCCCCAUAUCCCCUCCCUCUUACGUCUCCCUCCCACCCUCCCUAUCCCACCCCUCUAGGUGGUCACAGAGCACUGAGCUGAUCUCCCUGUGCUAUGUGGCUGCUUCCCACUAGCUAUCUGUUUUACAUUUGGUAGUGUAUGUAUGUCAGUGUUACUCUCUUACUUCGUCCCAGCUUAACCCUGCUCCCUCCCCACAUCCUCAAGUCCAUUCUCUACGUCUGUGUCUUUAUUCCUGUCCGGCUCCUAGGUUCUUCAGAACUUUUUUUUUUUUUUUAGAUUCCAUAUAUAUGUGUUAGCGAAUGGUAUUUGCUUUUCUCUUUCUGACUUGCUUCACUCUGUAUGACAGACUCUAGGUCCAUCCACCUCACUACAGAUAACUCAGUUUCGUUUCUUUUUAUGGCUGAGUAAUAUUCCAUUGUAUAUAUGUGCCACAUCUUCUUUAUCCACUCACUUGUCGAUGGACACUUAGGUUGCUUCCAUGUCCUGGCUCUUGUAAAUAGUGCUGCAGUGAACAUUGUGGUACAUGACUCUUUUUGAAUUAUGCUUUUCUCCAGGUAUAUGCCCAGUGGUGGGAUUGCUGGGUCGUAUGGUAGUUCUACUUUUAGUUUUUUAAGGAACCUCCAUACUGUUCUCCACAGUGGCUGUAUCAACUUACAUUCCCACCAACAGUGCAAGAGUGUUCCCUUUUCUCCACACCCUCUGCAGCAUUUAUUGUUUGUAGAGUUUUUGAUGAUGGCCAUUCUGACCGGUGUGAGGUGAUGUCUCAUUGUAGUUUUUUUUUUUUUAACAUCUUUAUUGGAUCAUUGUAGUUUUGAUUUGCAUUUCUCUGAUGGUUAGUGAUGUUGAGCAUCCUUUCAUUGUUUGUUGGCCAUCUGUACGUCUUCUUUGGAGAAAUGUCUAUUUAGGUCUUCUGCCCAUUUUUGGAUUGUAUUGUUUGUUUUUUUGAUGUUGAGCUGCAUGAGCUGCUUGUACAUUUUGCAGAUUAAUCCUUUGUCAGUUGCUUUAUUUGCAAAUAUUUUCUCCCACUCUGAGGGUUGUCUUUUUGUCUUAUUUAUGGUUUCCUGUGCUGUGCAAAAGCUUUUGAAUUUCAUUAGGUCCUGUUGGUUUAUUUUUGUUUUUAUUUCCAUUUCUCUAGGAGGUGGGUCAAAAAGGAUAUUGCUGUGAUUUAUGUCAUAGAGUGUUCUGCCUCUGUUUUCCUCUAAGAGUUUUAUAGUGUCUGGCCUUACAUUUAGGUCUUUAAUCCAUUUUGAGUUUAUUUUUGUGUAUGGUGUUAGGGAGUGUUCUAAUUUCAUUCUUUUACAUGUAGCUAUCCAGUUUUCCCAGCACCACUUAUUGAAGAGGCUGUCCUUUCUCCAUUGUAUAUUCUCGCCUCCUUAAUCAAAAAUAAGGUGACCAUAUGUGCAUGGGUCUAUCUCUGGGCUUUCUAUCCUGUUCCAUUGAUCUAUAUUUCUGUUUUAUUGCCAGUGCCAUACUGUCUUGAUUACUGUAGCUUUGUAGUAUAGUCUGAAGUCAGGGAGCCUGAUUCCUCCAGCUCCGUUUUUCUUUCUCAAGAUUGCUUUGGCUAUUCGGGGUCUUUUGUGUUUCCAUACAAAUUGUGAAAUUUUUUUUAGUUCUGUGAAAAAUGCCGUUGGUAGUUGGAUAGGGAUUGCAUUGAAUCUGUAGAUUGCUUUGGGUAGUGUAGUCAUUUUCACAAUGUUGAUUCUUCCAGUCAAGACCAUGGUAUAUCUCUCCAUCUGUUUGUAUUAUCUUUAAUUUCUUUCAUCAGUGUCUUAUAGUUUUCUGCAUACAGGUCUCUGUCUCAUUAGGUAGGUUUAUUCCCUGGUAUUUUAUUCUUUUUGUUGCAGUGGUAAAUGGGAGUGUUUGCUUAAUUUCUUUUUCAGAUGUUUCAUCAUUAGUGUAUAGAAAGGCAAGAGAUUUCUGUGCAUUAAUUUUGUAUCCUGCUACUUUACCAGAUUCAUUGAUUAGCUCUAGUAGUUUUCUGGUAACAUCUUUAGGAUUCUCUAUGUAUAGUAUCAUGUGAUCUGCAAACAGUGACAGCUUUACUUCUUCUUUUCCUAUUUGCAUUCCUUUUAUUUUUCUUCUCUGAUUGCUGUGGCUAAAACUUCCAAAACUAUGUUGAAUAAGAGUGGUGAGAGUGGGCAACCUUGUUUUGUUCCUGGUCUUAGAGGAAAUGGUUUCAGUUUUUCACCACUGAGAAUGAUGUUGGCUGUGGGUUUGUCAUAUAUGGCCCUUAUUAUGUUGAUGUAAGUUCCCUCUAUGCCUACUUUCUGGAGGGUUUUUUAUCAUAAAUGGGUGUUGUAUUUUGUCAUAACCUUUUUCUGCAUCUAUUGAGAUGAUCAUAUGCUUUUCCUCCUUCAGUUUGUUAAUAUGGUUUAUCACAUUGAUUGAUUUGCAUAUAUUGAAGAAUCCUUGCAUUCCUGGGAUAAACCCCACUUGAUCAUGGUGUAUGAUCCUUUUAAUGUGCUGUUGGAUUCUGUUUGCUAGUAUUUUGUUGAGGAUUUUUGCAUCUUUGUUCAUCAGUGAUAUUGGCCUGUAGUUUUCUUUCUUUGUGACAUCCUUGUCUGGUUUUGGUAUCAGGGUGAUGGUGGCCUCAUAGAAUGGGUUUGGGAGUGUUCCUUCCUCCGCUAUAUUUUGGAAGAGUUUGAGAAGGAUAGGUGUUAGCUCUUCUGUAAAUGUUUGAUAGAAUUCGCCUGUGAAGCCAUCUGGUCCUGGACUUUUGUUGGAAGAUUUUUAUUCACAGUCUCAAUUUCAGUGCUUGUGAUUGGUCUGUUUGUAUUUUCUAUUUCUUCCUGGUUCAGCCUCGGAAGGUUGUGCUUUUCUAAGAAUGUGUCCAUUUCUUCCAGGUUGUCCAUUUUAUUGGCAUAUAGUUGCUUGUAGUAAUAUCUCACGAUCCUUUGUAAUUCUGCUGUGUCAGUUGUUACUUCUCCUUUUUCAUUUCUAAUUCUAUUGAUUUGAGUCUUCUCCCUUUUUUUCUUUAUGAGUCUGGCUAAUGGUUUAUCAAUUUUGUUUUAUUUUCUCAAAGAACCAGCUUUUAGUUUUAUUGAUCUUUGCUAUUGUUUCCUUCAUUUCUGAUCUGAUCUUUAUGUUUUCUUUCCUUUUGCUAGCUUUGGGUUUUUUUUGUUCUUUCUCUAAUUGCUUUAGGUGUAAGGUUAGGUUGUUUAUUUGAGAUGUUUCUUGUUUCUUGAGGUGGGAUUGUAUGCUAUAAACUUCCCUCUUAGAACUGCUUUUGCUGCAUCCCAUAGGUUUUGGGUCAUUGUGUUUUCAUUGUAAUUUGUUUCUAGGUACUUUUUGAUUUCCUCAGUGAUCUCUUGGUUAUUUAGUAGUGUAUUGUUUAGACUCCAUGUGUUUUUUUUUUUUUUGCGGUACGCGGGCUUCUCACUGUUGUGGCCUCUCCCGUUGCGAAGCACAGGCUCCGGACGCUCAGGCUCAGUGGCCAUUGCACACGGGCCCAGCCGCUCCGCAGCAUGUGGGAUCCUCCCGGACCAGGGCACGAACCUGUGUCCCCUGCAUCGGCAGGUGGACUCUCAACCACUGCGCCACCAGGGAAGCCCCUGUGUUUGUAUUUUUUACGGACUUUUUUCUGUAAUUGAUAGCUAGCCUCAUAGUGUUGUGGUUGGAAAAGAUACUUGAUAUGAUUUCAGUUUUCUUAAAUUUACCAGGGCUUGAUUUGUGACCCAAGAUAUGAUCUAUCCUGGAAAAUGUUCCAUGAACACUUGAGAAGAAAGUGUAUUCUGUUGUUUUUGGAUGGAAUGUCCUAUAAAUAUCAAUUAAGUCCAUUUUGUUUAAUGUAUCAUUUAAAGCUUGUGUUUCCUUAUUUAUUUUCAUUUUGGAUGAUGUGUCCAUUGGUGAAAGUGGAGUGUUAAAAGUCCCCUACUAUGAUUGUGUUACUGUCGAUUUCCUGUUUUAUGGUUGUUAGCAUUUGCCUUAUGUAUUGAUGUGCUCCUGUGUUGGGUGCCUAAAUAUUUACAGUUGUUAUAUCUUCUUCUUGGAUUGAUCCUUUGAUCAUUAUGUAGUAUCCUUCUUUGUCUCUUGUAAUAGUCUUUAUUUUAAAAUCUAUUUUGUCUGAUAUGAGAAUUGCUACUCCAGUUUUCUUUUGAUUUCCAUUUGCAUGGAAUAUCUUUUUCCAUCCCCUCACUUGCAGUCUGUAUGUGUCCCCAGCUCUGAAGUAGGUCUCUUGUAGACAGCAUAUAUACGGGUAUUGUUUUUGUAUCCAUUCAGCCAGUCUAUGUCUUUUGGUUGGAGCAUUUAAUCCAUUUCCAUUUAAGGUAAUUAUCGAUAUGUAUGUUCCUAUUCCCAUUUUCUUAAUUGUUUUGGGUUUGAUUUUGUAGGUCUUUUCCUUCUCUUGUGUUUCCUGCCUAGAGAAGUCCCUGUAGCAUUUGUUCCAAACGUUUGGUGGUGCUGAAUUCUCUUUACUUUUGCUUGUCUGUUAAGGUUUUAAUUUCUCUGUUGAAUCUGAAUGAGAUCCUUGCUGGGUAGAGUAAUCUUGGUUGUAGGUUUUUACCCUUUCAUCAUUUAAAAUAUGUCCUGCCAGUCCCUUCUGGCUUGCAGAGUUUCUGCUGAAAGAUCAGCUGUUAACCUUAUGGGGAUUCCCUUGUAUGUUAUUUGUUGCUUUUCCCUUGUUGUUUUUAAUAUUUUUUCUUUGUAUUUAAUUUUUGAUAGUUUGAUUAAUAUGUGUCUUGACGUAUUUCUCCUUGGAUUUAUCCUGUAUGGGACUCUGCGCUUCCUGGACUUGAUUGACUAUUUCCUUUCCCAUGUUAGGGAAGUUUUCAAGUAUAAUCUCUUCAAAUGUUUUCUCAGACCCUUUCUUUUUCUCUUCUUUUUUUGCGACCCCUAUAAUUCAAAUGUUGGUGUGUUUAAUGUUGUCACAGAGGUCUCUGAGACUGUCGUCAAUUCUUUUCAUUCUUUUUUCUUUAUUCUGCUCUGCAGUAGUUAUUUCCACUAUUUUAUCUUCCAGGUCACUUAUCCGUUCUUCUGCCUCAGUUAUUCUACUAUUGAUCCCAUCUAGAGUAUUUUUCAUUUCAUUUAUUGUGUUGUUCAUCAUUGCUUGUUUCAUCUUUAGUUCUUCUAGGUCCUUGUUAAAUGUUUCUUGCAUUUUGUCUAUUCUGUUUCCAAGAUUUUGGAUCAUCUUUACUGUCAUUACUCUGAACUCUUUUUCAGGUAGACUGCCUAUUUCCUCUUCUUUUGUUUGGUCUGGUGGAUUUUUACCUUGCUCCUUCAUCUGCUGCAUAUUUCUCUAUCUUCUCAUUUUGCUUAACUGUGUUUGGGGUCUCCUUUUCGCAGGCUGCAGGUUCAUAAUUCCCGUUGUUUUUGGUGUCUGCUCCCAGUGGGUAAGGUUGGUUCAGUGGCUUGUAUAGGCUUCCUGGUAGAGGGGACUAGUGCCUGUGUUCUGGUGGAUGAGGCUGGAUCUUGUCUUUCUGGUGGGCAGGGCUGCGUCCAGUGGUGUGUUUUGGGGUGUCUGUGAACCUAGUAUGAUUUUAGGCAACCUCUCUGCUAAUGGGUUGGGUUGUGCUCCUGUCUUGCUAGUUUGGCAUGCGGCAUCUAGCACUGGAGCUUGCUGGCCGUUGGGUGGAGCCGGGUCUCAGUGUUGAGACGGAGAUCUUUGCGAGAGCUCUUGCCAAUUGAUAUUACUUGGGGCCAGGCGGUCUCUGGUGGCCCAGUGUCCUGAGUUUGGCUUCUCCCACCUCAGAGGCUGAGGCCUGACACCAGGCAAGAGCGCCAAGGUCCUGUCAGCCUGAAGAAAAGGGAGAAAAAAAGAAAGAAAAAAAAUUAAAAUAAAAAAUUAUUAAAAUGAAAAAAUAAAUAAGAAAUAAAAAAGUAAUAAUAAUAAAAAAAGAAGAGAGCAACCAAACCAAUAAACAAAUCCAGCAGUUGUAAUAAGCGCUAAAAACUAUACUAAGGUAAACAUAAAAAUCAGAAAUAAGUCAGUCGUGGACAGCAAACCCCAAGUCUACAGUUGCUCCCAAAGUCCACCACCUCAAUUUUGGGAUGAUUCGUUGUCUUUUCAGGUAUUCCACAGAUGCAGGUACAUCAAGUUGAUUGUGGAGAUUUACUCCGCUUCUCCUGAGGCUGCUGGGAGAGAUUCCCCUUCUCUUCUUUGUUAGCACAGCUCCUGGCGUUCAUCUUUGGGUUUGGCCCCUCUUCUGCAUGUAGGUCACCCUCUGGCGUCUGUUCCCAUCCAGACAGGAUGGGGUUAAAGCAGAGGCUGAUUAGGGGGCUCUGGCUCAUUCAGGUUGGGGGGAGGAAGGGGUACGGUAGUUAUAAUUGGAAUGUGGGGCAAGCCUGCGGCGGCAGAGGCCACCAUGAUGUUGCACCAGCCUGAGAUGCGUCGUAUGUUCCCCCCGGGAAGUUGUCCCUGGAUCUCGGGACCCUGGCAGUGGCGGGCCGCACAGGCUCCCGGGAGGGGAGGUGUGGCUAGUGACCUGUGCUUGCACACAGCCUUCUUUCUUUCUUUAUUUAUGUUUUUGCGGUAUGUGGGCCUCUCACUGUUGUGGCCUCUCCCAUUGCGGAGCACAGGCUCCGGACACGCAGGCUCAACGGCCAUGGCUCACGGGCCCAUCCGCUCCGCGGCGUGUGGGAUCUUCCCGGACCGGGCACGAAACCCGUGUCCCCUGCAUCGGCAGGCGGACUCUCAACCACUGCGCCACCAGGGAAGCCCCACACAGCCUUCUUGGUGGCGGCAGCAGCAGCCUUAGUGUUUCAUGCCCGUCUCUGGUGUCAGCUCUGAUAGCCGAGGCUCGCGCCCGUCUCUGGAGCUCAUUUAGGCGGUGCUCUGAAUCCCCUCUCCUCAUGCACCCCAAAACAAUGGUCUCUUGCCUCUUAGGCAGUUCCAGACUUUUUCCCAGACUCCCUCCCGGCUAGCUGUGGCGCACUAGCCUGCUUCAGGCUGUGUUCACGCAGCCAACCCCAGUCCUCUCCCCGGAAUCUGACCUCCGAAGCCCGAGCCUCAGCUCCCAGCCCUCACCCGCCCCAGCGGGUGAGUAGACAAGCCUCUUGGGUUGGUGAGUGCUGGUCGGCACCGAUCCUCUGUUUGGGAAUCUCUGUGCUUUGCCCUCUGCACCCCUACUGCUGCGUUCUCCUCCAUGGCUCUGAAGCUUCCUCCCUGCCCGCUCCCCGUCUCCAUCAGUGAAGGGGCUUCCUAGUGUGUGGAAACUUUUCCUCCUUCACAGCUCCCUCCCAGAGGUGCAGGUCCCAUCCCUUUUCUUUUGUCUCUGUUUUUUCUUUUGCCCUACCCAGGUACGUGGGGAUUUUCUUGCCUUUUGGGAAGUCUGACGUAUUCUGCCAGUGUUCAGUAGGUGUUCUGUAGGAGUUGUUCCACAUGUAGUUGUAUUUUUGAUGUAUUUGUGGGGAGGAAGGUGAUCUCCAUGUCGUACUCCUCCGUCAUCUUGAAGAUCCCCCCAGGUUGACUUUUUUAAUUUUUGAAAUGUGGGCUGGGAGUGUCCUAGGCACGUGAGAAAUGUUAUGUGCAUGUUGUAUAUAUGUAUGUCUGUGCAUGUUCCAUGUAUGUGGGUAAGGAUGAGGUGUGGUGGUAAGAGCUCUCUUGGUGGGAGCUGUACUCCCACAUGAGUGUGCACAGCUGAGUGGGCAGCACUAAGCUGGUAAGAGUCUGUUUGCUGGAUCCGGCAGCCUCCCUUCUGCUGUUCAGUCCAUUGCAAGCACCCUGUGUCUCCGGGAGAAUCAUUCUUUAUUUUUGUAGGAUGGUUUGGAGGAUUCCAUGAGUUAACAGGGGCAACACGUAACGUAAUAUUUAUAAAACAUUAGUUCACUUGCCCAUGGUUGGUAGUAUAUAAAUGUUAAAUAAGACACCAAAAGCACUAACUUUAUAUAAAGUAAAAGGUUGAUAUGUUGGAUUACAUUAAAAUAAUUUCUGUUUAUCAAAAGAUGGUAUUAUGUGAAUGAAAAGUCAAGUCAAAGUGUGGGAUUGGCCAACAGAAUGUAAUAUAAUCAGAAUAUUUUGAGAAGUCCUGCAAGUUAGUAAGAAAGAGACAGACAAGCCCAAUAGGAAAAUGGGCAAGGGACUUGAACAGGCACUUCACAGACGGUCAGGAAACAUGGGAAAAGGUGCUUCACCUCAUCAGUCAUCAGACAGACGUAGAAUAAACCACAGUGAGAUGCCAUCACACACCCAGAUGACUGCAUUCAAAAAGACAAUGUCAGGUGCUGGCAAGGAACAGAGCAGUGGGGGCUUUCACGCACUGCUGACGGUCAUCUGCAUCAGUGCUGGAAAUCUAGAAUUAUCUAGAAUUGUCUGCACUGUGUGUCUCAGCAGUUCCUCUCCUGAUGUAUGUUCCCAACAGAAGUAUGUGUAUAUACGUUCCAAAGACAUGUGCAAGAAUGUCCUCAGGAGUGUGAUUCCAAAUUCCUCAAAACUAAAACUGCCCGAAUGCUCACAACAACAGAAUGGAAAAAUUAAUUGUGAUAUAUUCAUAUACUGUAACCUGGACAGCCAUGAAAAUGAAUGAACUGAUGAUAUAUUCAAGAAACGAAUAACUCUCACAAGCAUAGUAUGGCAUGAAAGAAACCAGACUCUCAAAUUUAUUUAUUAUAUGAUUCUGGAUACAAGUUCAGAACAGUUCAAAGCCAGGAAAAAUAAUUUAUGGUUGUAGUCAGGAGUAGUUACCUUUGGGGAGUAGGGAGAGUGUAUUAGUGGAGCUUCUGGGGUGCUGGUAAGGUUCUGUUUCUUAAUUUUGGGUGUGAUACAUGUACGGAGACACAGGUACACUUAUGACAUGUGCUCUUUUUGUAUGUUACAUUUCAAUAAAAAGUUCAUUGAAAUGGUAUAUGGUAUAAAAUAGUUUAUUAAAGUGCAGUGAGAAGUGAGCAAGGAACAGCUGUGUGCAGCAGCAUGGAGGAAUCUCACAAAAUAGUGUUUGAUUCUGUGUUUACGAAGUUCGAAAAGAGUCAGUGCUGAGCUAUUGUUUAGAGAAACAAGUAGCUGGUGUGUAUCAGGAUUCAGUCAGGGAAGCAGAACCACUGGGAGUAUUAUGGAAUAAGGGAUUUAUUUAUUACAGAAGUAAGUCUGUACAUAAUCCUGGGAGAAGGUGAAAAAAUAGAGCCCAGAGGAGGAGUUAGAAGGUCAGAGAAGGGUCAUGAACCACCUCCUGAAACACUGGGGUGGGUGGCCCAGGCAGCCUGCCGGGGUCUGGGAGACUUCUGGGAGGACAGGCUAUCCUUUCAUGUGUUUGCUGCCCAGCUUCUAGUGUUAGGGGAACUAAAGCUAGUGUCCAAAGAGGAAACAUGUGGAUGAGCUGGAACUCUCUGGCACCUCAGUUUCUAUCUGUCACCACCUCUAACCGUGCAGGCAUUCAGAGAGUGGAGGCUGUUCUGUUCCACCUUUUAAAUCUUGGGCAGACUCAGGGAAGGGGAUCCUGGGAAAUUCCAACUUAACCACAUCGAUGGAGAUAAAAACUGCCGCAGUGAUGGUCGCACAACUCUGUGAAUAUCCUAAAAGUACUCUUUAUGGUAUGUGAAUUAUAUCUCAAUAUAGCUGUUAUUUAAAGAAAAUUGCCGCAGGUUGUGAAAACUCUAUAAAGAAAAGCAAGGAAAUAAUUGGUACAAAAGUCAGGAUAGUGCUUACCUGUGGGAGAGAGGAGGGGUUGUGAAAAGCAGUUUUGGGGUGUUAAAAACUUCCCCCUUGUAGGUGGGGGGGGGCGUUCCACAAGUGUUUGCUUUAUUAUUAUACAGUCUUGUGUAAACACAUAUUGCAGAACACACAGAAGACAUGAAUUCACAGUCUAGUGUGGUAGGCGGAGAAAUCAGUGCCGUUUAUAAGGUUAUGGGGGUACCGUAUGCUGUAGUCUUCGUUUUCUAGUUUUUUAAUGACUGGAAGAUGUUAACAUGGCUGAUUGAAAUGCUCCUUCUUGAGAUCUGGAAGUUUCAGUAGUCAUGGCUUCCUAUCAGUUUGUAUCCAUGUCACUCUGAACUGGAGGGUAGUACCUGUGGUCUGUUUUUUAACAAGGUCUUCACGUCUCCUGACAGGUCUGUGAGUGUUUUGAAAACAGGUUAAUGGGAUAUUUCUGUCACUUUUCACUGUAUAUAUUUGAUUUUAAAAUUUGAACUAAAAUUUCUUUGUGCUUAAAAGUACAUUUUACAAAUUUAUUAAAACUUUCAUAUCAAAUCCUUUUUGAUAAUCUGAGAAAUCAAAACAUUCUUUUCAUCUAACUUAUUGGAAAAUGCCUUUAUCUACUCUCCAUUUACAUGGAGCCACUUUUCUUUUGAAUGUUUGUUGUGGCUCUUUUAUUCUCUUUGUAAUGAGGAAGCAAUUGCCCAAAUAAAGAAAGAUAUGCAGCUGUCCUGCCUGGGGCUGUAGUUGUACCAUAGUUAGGAAAUAGAUGUGAAGGUUUUUACAAAAGUUCAAAAACAAAGUGUCUUGUACCAUUUGUACGCAAAGACUAGAAAAAUCUUUGCUCUAGUUAUGUAGACUUUUAGCUUCUUUUUUUGGUGUAGAACUAUAUCUAUCUAUCUCAUGUUUUUUGAAUGAGAUGACUUAACUCCUUAACUAACAGGAGCCCUUGAACAAGUGAUUUUUACACGGGUUAAAUUUAUAAUACAGAGCCUCAUUAGUAUUACUUAGAGUGCUUCUAAGCUAUUUGUAAAACUUCAGAGAUACAUUUGUUACCUGAUGAGAUUACAAUUUGAGUCAAAUGUCACUCUUCAUAGUUUUCCAUUAAGAAAUAUAUUUUUGAUAAUUUUUAUAAACCAGUUUGUUAAGUAAGCAUCACGUCUGUUAAUCUUCUUAUUCAGUGAGCAUUUUGAGUGCCUACUGUGUGCCCAAGCCCUGAGGUAAGCCGGGCCAUUCAGAGGUGAAUAAGAGGGUGUCACAGUCAUAUGGGGAAGACAUAUAAAAAAUAAUUGCAAAGUGGUGUGAUAAGGGAUAAAAUGGAAUUGUGAGGUAUGUGUGUACAAGAUAAAUUUGAGGCAUAUAAGUGGUGGAUGUUUUAUAAAGUAUGACACUAAGACUGUAUUUUGAAGAUGAUUAUGAGUUUGCUGGACAAAGAAUCAGCAAGAAAACUUUCCUGGCUGAAGGAACCACAUGAGCAAAGGAUUGGAAGAAGGCAGUAGUUUGGCUUGCUUGAGUAAUUAGGUAUGGCUGGGUCAGGGUUUAAGGAGAGAGAUAGAUGAAUUAAGGUUAGUGAGGUAGGCAACAACCAGCUCACAGAAAGCCUUGUAUGCCGUGCUGGGUUUACAUUUUUACCUUACAAGUAGUCAGGAUCACUUGAAAGAUUUUAAUCAGAAAAGUAGAAUGAUCAGAUUUUCAUUUUACACAGUCACUCUGUGGGCCGUUUAGAGAAUGGUUUGGAGGGAAGUUGGGAAUUGAGGAGGAAUCCAUACCAGAGAUAAUUAAGACCUAUUUUAAUGCAGCGGCAGUAGAGAAGGAUCUGACCAGAGACCUAGAAUCAGUAGGACAUAUCAUGACCUCUAAGAUGUGAUGGCAAAGGAGAGGAGGAGCUACUGAGAUUCUGGCUUGGAUGUUGGUGGUAUGUAGAUAAUGAAAUACAGAAAGAAAAGUAGGUUUGAGGAGGCACUGAAAUUAUAUUUGUAUAGUGUGUCUUAGAGAGUGCAUGUGGAACAUGUAGGAAGAGAUCUUAGAGGGUAGUUGGAUAUAGAUCUGGGAAGUCAAGAGAGAGCUGGAAGAAACUGACAGUACAGGUGAACAAGGAGAGUAGGGAGAAUGAGAGAAGAGAAAGGUUCUAGUAGUGAACGGUUUCCAUCAUCUUCUCUGGAGCAUGAGACUGAAUAAGGGAAAUGGGAAGAAAAUUAAGCUUGUAAAGGAGACUCAGAAGGACUAGUUGAAGAGGAAUAGAGCUGAGGGGUUACAGAAACCAAGGGAAGUUGGAGUAGCAAGGAGAAUGAACAAAAGGGUCAGCAGUGCCAGAUAGCAAAGUAAAAUUAUACAAAUAUCAAGAAAGUAGUUUUUGAUUUAUAAGAGAUUUAUACACUAUUUGGAGGAGGAAAUAGAGAGUUAAUUACUUAAAUGAAUUUGGGACAGUUGGCUUACCAAUUAAAAAAAUAAGUCUGUCUCAUACCUUAUACCAAAAUAAGUCUAAAGAAGUAAAUGUAAAAAGUGGAAAUGAUAAUACACUAGAAGAAAAUAUGAGUCUGUAUUUACAUAAUGUUCAGUGUUCUUAUCAUGACAUCAGAAUUAGAAAGGAGAAGAUGGAUAAACUGGACUACAUAUAAACUCACCAUUUCUAUGUGCUAAAAAUACCGUAAAAUUAAAAUGUAAAUGGGAAACUAGGAGAAGUAUUUGUCACAUAUUUGACAGAGGUUUAAUAUCCUUAAUAUAUAAAAGAUCUAUCAGUAAAAUGAAUGACUGGAGAUUUCUGGUUAAGCUGUGAUGAGUAACAGGUUAAGCAGUUACUCAUCGAAGAUGUAUUUAUCUACCUUCCAAAAUUUUGGUAAAAUGACAGAAAAGAAUCACAAAAUAUAAACCCACAAAGAUAGAAAAUAUGGGAGUGGGGAAAUUUUUGCUAAUGGUAGACAGAGUGGUUGGGCCCUCUUUCCUGCAAGUAGAAAAGCUGGACAAAAUUUAAAACAAAAUUUGUGUGAAGGUAAUAGAGGUAACAAAACAGUGAAGAUUUGUGGACUUGAGAUCUGGGGAAGUAAGGAAGCUCAUAGAUGCAAGACCAGAUUUGCAUCCACUUUUGCCCUGGAGGAUCGAUCUGCUGAUUCAAGAAGAAGCAAGCAAAUGAGAAGUUGGAAAGCUGAGGAGAUUUUGAUAGAUUUAAGGAACUGGAGAGCGGGGGACAAAAAUUGGAGUUUGGUAUAAGUCAGGGAGGAAGGGGCCCUGGAAAACUCCUUAGGCUUUGAGUCCCAAAGGCCUGUAUCCUGGGAACAGUGAUCUCUGAGAAGUACUGAAGUUGAAUUUCAGAUCCCCUCGGUCCUUGAUUAGAUCAAGGUGAUCUUGACAGCACCAAAUGUGAAUUUUUUCUGGAAGAAGAUAACAUCACCCAGAGCCUCAAAUGAUCUCUAGAUUUAUUUACAGUGUCUGGUACUUACCCACUAGAUGAGAAUUUAGGACAAUUUGACAGAAAAUCAAGAGGAACAGCAGACUAUGCCAAUGGAUUGUCAGCGAUCCAGAUAAUAGAGUAAUUAAAUACCAUCACAUAGUAUGUUAUAUGUUUAAAGAAAUAAAAGAUAAGAUUAAGAAUCGGGGAACUAGAACUUAAAAAAAAAAAAGAACAAAACGUAAAUUCUAGAAUUGAAGGUCUAUAACUGAAUUAAUUGAGAUUAAGAUCUCAAUGGUUGGGUUUAACAGUAGAUUUGUAUAGUAAUAAAUUGAAAAUAAAUAUUCAGAAUGAUAAAAUAUGGAGAGAAAAAUGAUGGGAAAUACAUAAAAGAUUCUAAGAGACAUGGGAUUCAGUGAAAAUAUUUAACAAUGUGUAAUUGAAAUCUGAGUAGGAAAGGAAGGAGGAAUAGUACAGAAGCCAUAUUUGUAGAGAUAAUGGCUGAGAAUUCUCUAUAACAGACAAGCCUCUCAAAUCAAGAAAUACUGUAGACCCUGCACCAGAUAAAUUCAAAUAAAAUUUCACUGAAACAUAAGAUUGCUGAAAACCAAAGAUAAUGAGAGAAUCUUAAAUACCUAGAGAAAAAUUACGUAUUACAUUCAAAAGAGCAGUAAGGCUGACAGCUGAUUUCUCAACACAAGCAACAGAAGUCAGAAGACAAUGGAACAGUAUUUUCAAAAUGUAAACAGUAUUUUCAAGAAGGUAAACUGCCAGACUGGAAUUCUAUACCCAGCAAAACAUCCUGCAAAAGGGAAGGCAAAAAUAUCAUCCUUUUAGAUCAACAAAAUGGAAAAAAUUAAUAUACACCAGGCCUGCACUAAAGGGGAGUACUAAUAAAGAUUCUUCUUUGGGCAGAAGGGAAAUGAUCCUGGCUGGCAGCUUUAAGAUGUAGGAAAAGGUGAAGACCAAAGAGAGGGUAAAUGCAAAUGAAUGUUGAUAUAUGCAACAACAAUAAUAAUGUCUUGUGUGGUUUAAAAUAUGUAUGGAAUUAAAAAUUUUAAUAAUAGCAUAUGAGUUGUGGGGAUGUAAA